ACACCGUUGGUGAAACGGUAUCAUGCAUCCUUGCCAUUAAAAGCCGGUUUAUUGGAUGCGGCAAGGGUUCGACUCCCUUACGGUGUA